AAACAUUCCAGGCAGGGGAGAUACCAUGUUCACAAAGGUAGUUUUUCCAGAGCAAGACUUAUCCACUGAACUCUGUAUGUGCUGAACUGUGAUUUCCUAAGAACCUCAAAAUUCAACUACAUAAUUUGUGGUAUUGGGGCACUAUAUUCAUGGUGUCCCUCA